rnacentral:snoRNA from 1 species
UCAGUGGUGGCAAUAAGAUUAAUGGUUCGAUUCAGCCAGCAGAUUUCCUCAACUUGAAAUUUAAGAAGAGGGAGCUUUGGUAUCCUACUCUUUUCCCCC